rnacentral:rRNA from 1 species
UACAGAGGUCCCAAGCGUUGUUCGGAUUCACUGGGCGUAAAGGGUGCGUAGGUGGUGAGGUAAGUCGGAUGUGAAAGCUCGGAGCUCAACUCCGAAAUGGCAUUGGAAACUACCUUGCUCGAGGGUUGGAGGGGGGACUGGAAUACUUGGUGUAGCAGUGAAAUGCGUAGAUAUCAAGAGGAACACCAGUGGCGAAGGCGAGUCCCUGGACAACUUCUGACGCUGAGGCACGAAAGCUAGGGGAGCAAACAGG